rnacentral:rRNA from 1 species
UACGUAGGGGGCAAGCGUUGUCCGGAAUUAUUGGGCGUAAAGAGCUCGUAGGCGGUCUGUUGCGUCCGCUGUGAAAACUCGGGGCUUAACCCCGAGCCUGCAGUGGAUACGGGCAGACUAGAGGUAGGUAGGGGAGAAUGGAAUUCCCGGUGUAGCGGUGAAAUGCGCAGAUAUCAGGAGGAACACCGAUGGCGAAGGCAGGUCUCUGGGCAUUAACUGACGCUGAGGAGCGAAAGCAUGGGGAGCGAACAGG